ACAACAGUUGGAAACGACUGCUAAUACCGCAUAAGCCCACGGUGCUGCAUGGCACUGCGGGAAAAGGAUUUAUUCGCUCUAGGAUGGACUCGCGUCCAAUUAGCUAGUUGGUGAGGUAACGGCCCACCAAGGCGACGAUUGGUAGCCGGACUGAGAGGUUGAACGGCCACAUUGGGACUGAGACACGGCCCAGACUCCUACGGGAGGCAGCAGUGGGGGAUAUUGCACAAUGGGGGAAACCCUGAUGCAGCGACGCCGCGUGGAGGAAGAAGGUUCUCGGAUUGUAAACUCCUGUCGUUAGGGACGAUAAUGACGGUACCUAACAAGAAAGCACCGGCUAACUACGUGCCAGCAGCCGCGGUAAAACGUAGGGUGCAAGCGUUGUCCGGAAUUACUGGGUGUAAAGGGAGCGCAGGCGGACCGGCAAGUUGGAAGUGAAAACUAUGGGCUCAACCCAUAAAUUGCUUUCAAAACUGCUGGCCUUGAGUAGUGCAGAGGUAGGUGGAAUUCCCGGUGUAGCGGUGGAAUGCGUAGAUAUCGGGAGGAACACCAGUGGCGAAGGCGACCUACUGGGCACCAACUGACGCUGAGGCUCGAAAGCAUGGGUAGCAAACAGGAUUAGAUACCCUGGUAGUCCAUGCCGUAAACGAUGAUUACUAGGUGUUGGAGGAUUGACCCCUUCAGUGCCG
rnacentral:rRNA from 1 species